AUUGAACGCUGGCGGCAGGCCUAACACAUGCAAGUCGAGCGGAUGAAGAGAGCUUGCUCUCUGAUUUAGCGGCGGACGGGUGAGUAAUGACUAGGAAUCUGCCUGGUAGUGGGGGAUAACGACCGGAAACCGGCGCUAAUACCGCAUACGUACUACGGGAGAAAGCAGGGGACAGUCGGGCCUUGCGCUAUCAGAUGAGCCUAGGUCGGAUUAGCUAGUUGGUGAGGUAAUGGCUCACCAAGGCUACGAUCCGUAACUGGUCUGAGAGGAUGAUCAGUCACACUGGAACUGAGACACGGUCCAGACUCCUACGGGAGGCAGCAGUGGGGGAUAUUGGACAAUGGGCGAAAGCCUGAUCCAGCCAUGCCGCGUGUGUGAAGAAGGUCUUCGGAUUGUAAAGCACUUUAAGUUGGGAGGAAGGGCAGUAAGUUAAUACCUUGCUGUUUUGACGUUACCGACAGAAUAAGCACCGGCUAACUUCGUGCCAGCCGCCGCAGUAAUAC
rnacentral:rRNA from 1 species